rnacentral:sRNA from 1 species
GCGGGGUGGGGUGGCGCACACCUGUAAUCCCUGCGACUAGGGAGGCUGAGGCAGGAGCAUUGAGAGUCAGAAGCGAGGCGCUAGGCAACCCAGUGAGACCCUGUCUCUA